AACGUAGGAGACGAACGUUAUCCGGAGUUACUGGGCGUAAAGGGCGUGUAGGCGGUGCUCUAAGUUUGGUGUGAAAUCUCCCGGCUCAACUGGGAGGGUGCGCCGAAAACUGGAGUGCUUGAGUGUGGGAGAGGAAAGCGGAAUUCCUGGUGUAGCGGUGAAAUGCGUAGAUAUCAGGAGGAACACCUGCGGUGUAGACGGCUUUCUGGACCAUUACUGACGCUGAGACACGAAAGCGUGGGUAGCAAACAGG
rnacentral:rRNA from 1 species